GUUCUGUUUACAGCAUCCCUAAAGUACUUACACGGGCGAUGUCCUGGGAGUUUUCAUGGAUCAAAUGUAUUGAAUCCUCAUGAAGACUCUAUAAGAUCCGGGCACCUGCUUCUAGGAUGCAACACAUCUCAGCUGUGGAAUUUUUUAAAUGCUCUAGCAAUUGGAGUUCAUAUUCACUAUUGAAUGGCAUCCCUCAUCUGUAAAGUCAUUUACAAACUUUACUGAUCAAGCCGUACAUUUUUGAGUUGGAAUUUAAUCUACAGAGGCUUCUGCAGAAUGACUUGAAUCCUUUACUAAUCAUGGGCAAUGAUUUUUGCCAAGUUCAAUAGGCAGAAAGACAACUGAGAUGGACCUGGACAGACAGAGAAGUAAAAGCUGACACAAACGAUUCCAAGUCUAAAGAGAAAUGCACUUGCCAUUGAGCUCUUGCUGUGGAAUAGCUUACUAAUUUUCCUUGAAGUAACAACAGCUCUUUCAAAAACAUGAAUAAAUUGGAAGUGUCUAGCCAAUAUAAGGAUCUCAUGGGAACCAAUCUGAGACAUUUCAAGAUGCAUUAGUUGCAUACUGCCUCCUGGAAUGUGUCAUGUGACCCUGAGCAACAAUCAGAACUUGUUGUGAGUCUGAAGUCAGCCUGGUACAGCAGAAUCACUUGUAUGUGCUCCGUCUCUUCCACUGACCUGCUUGCCUUUUCUUCUCACUUCAGCUCCUCUGCAAUUGAACCAUUGCACCUCAUAAUAUUCAGAAAUAAAUCUCAAGUAAGGUCAGUGAAGAAAGAAAAUGGAUUGGAAAAAGCUAUGUGAUGAGAAAACAGUGGUGAAGAAUAAGACAAAUCCUUUCUGGACCACUGAAGAACAGUACCAGGAAAACAACUGGCUGGGCUGUGUUGAUUCUUAACCAGGUCAUCAACUCAUUUCUUUCUCCAGAAACCUAACUAAUGCAUA